rnacentral:tRNA from 1 species
UAAGCAGCGGCAACUUACGGCCUAAACACCGUUGGUCGCGAGUUCGAAUCUCGCCCGACCCACCA